AAAUAGUGUUUUAAAAUUUUCCAAAAAGAGAACACCGUCCAUAUUUUGGAUACUAGGAAUUAGAAUAUGCUGUUAUCAAGUAUAUUGGCAGGGCACAGAAGCAUGUAUACUUUGGUCAAAGAGAAUAAGUAAGGCAUAAGAUUGUGAGGAGACAUGGCCAGAUUUAAAUUCUAGAUUCUAAUUUCUAAGUGGCAAAAUUCAAAACAUCAUUCUUCUCCCUUCAAAAUCACACAAAUGUGCUAGGACAAAAGACAAAGAAUAUAGUCCUCAUGUCAAAGAAAGCAGGAAAUAUAUGUAGCCCAAAAAACCCCACAUGUGUUGAAGGGCCAGAGAAAUGCACAUGAUAAAAGUGCCCAUGGCUGUUCAACUCAAACAGAGAUGACAGAGUUCUCAGAGAAACAAUGCCAACAAUGUUCAUAGGCACAUCCUAGGCCUUCAGUAUCCUUAAAGAAGCCUAGCAGGGGCCAGUGAAGACUCUCCCAAAUAACAUCCAAAACAAAUCGAGACCAAAAGGUAGAGAUUGCAUCUUUUUUUAAAGGUCUUUCUUUGUUCUUUUCUUUUUCUUUUUUUCUUUUUUUGUUUGUUUUGUUUGUUUUUCAAGACAGGAUUUCUCUGUGUAGCCCUGGCUGUCCUAAAACUCACUCUGUAGACCAGGCAGGUGGAUCUGUGAGUUUGAGGCUAGCCAGGUCUACAAAGUGAGUUCCAGGACAGCCAGGACUACAGAGAGAAAUUCUAUCUUGGGGAAAAACAAACAACCAAACAAACAAAUAAAUGAACAAAAAAAUAGAGAGUCUCCCUGACCCUGAAGAAAGCUGUUUCAGUAUAACUGAAGGACCAGUAAGCCUUCAGGAUUCGCCUGCCUGCCUGCCGUCCAUGCCGACACUCACUCAGCAGGACCCACUGUGGACGCUUUCUGCAGGGAUGCUGUGGUCAGACCCAGGUCCUCAGGCCUCCUUGGCAAGCACGUGCACACUCAGCUUUUCUCCUGCCCCCAUUUCCAAUCCCACAGAAACCUCAGGCUUCUUAUGGUUUGAACAAGGCCUGUAUGUUUGCUUGUUUGUUUAUCUAAUAAACUGCUUGUUGGGAAGAAAGUAGUACACUUCAGGUCCCAUAUUACCCACGAGUUAAGGUUCAACAACCUCACAUAAGAGUGCUCUUAUUGCUAAGACACUCAGGGUAGUGCAGCACCAGGCUUUAUUAAGCAGAGACCUCUCAUUGUUAAAAGUGAGAUGAUUCCCUUAGAAGCUAUACACACUGCCAAAGGGAAUUAUGACCGAGAACAUGUUUUUGGUGAAUAGAUGCCAAAUACCCUUCUCACCUGAUGAUUACUGUUGUAAUAUUUGCCCAUUAGCUACUUUCAGCUCAGGAAAUAGAUUAGACCCUUAAUAGCCUAUGCAAUCAGGAAAUGAGCAACAUAUUUAUAGAUUCCACUAGUGAAUUUGAAAUAAAACUUCCUGCCUUUUAAAAAUGAAGGCUCCUGCCUAGAGAGAUGGCUCACUGCUUAAGCACACUUGCUGUUCUUUCAGGAGACCCCAAUUCAGUUCCCAGCACCCAUAUGAGACAACUUCCAGCCAUCCUAUAUAGAGUAACUGUAGGAACAACAUUAAGAGUAACUGUCCUAUAGACAGGCCAAAAGCAAGCCAUGUUUUUAGCUUUCCUUGGGGCCUUAAGGACCACCAAGGCUGGUUUUCAUCUGAAGUUGACCACUGUGAAGCUCUGUGGUUUGGGAACUGUGGUAUUAAAGCAGCUGAGUUAGAGGACCCAGAAGGCUCGCCCAGCCCUUAUACCACCUGGGUCCAAAUCUGUCAUUUCUUAGAUUCCUGAAUUCUGCCUUUUCAGCCUUGCUUUCUGUACCCGCUAAAGACAAAAACUCUUGGGAAAGAAAAUUUAAAUGGCAUAAUGUUUUUAAAAGAAAGGUUCAAGUCAAAGUGCUUUGAAAACACAUGAUUCUGAAGGUUGUAUUUUUUAAAGGUGUUGGAUUCUCUCUCUCUCUCUAUUUUCUCUCUCUCUCUCUCUCUCUCUCUCUCUGUGUGUGUGUGUGUGUGUGUAGACAAAUGCACGUGUUUUCAUUAUAUAUAUAAAAUUUAUACUAUUGCUAUAGCCCAUUGAUAAAAAUUAUAAUAGGUUGUAAAACUACGGGCCAUUAAAAUCUUGAACCUGCAUGUAUAUCAUUAUGUAUUGCUUGUUGACUCUUUUAUUCUUAACCCAGACAAUCGGACCUUCACAACAAAAUUGGGUUUUGUCAGAGGCAUUAUUAUUACUGUUAUUACUAUAAAAAAGAAAAGCACCCAGCCACCCACUAUCUGAUAACAAGUGCCCCAUCUAAGGAGUUCAGUUUGAAUAAUUUGAGUAUGGCUGCUGACUUCAUUCUGUAUGAGCAGUAGCCUAGCAAGUGUCUAGCACCAAGUUUGAUUCCCAGCACCAUACACACAGUUUGAAUAAUUCUUUCAUAAAUAACAAUUCUUAGCAGUGUGAUUUAAAAUGCUGUAAAAGUAGUUUAAGUAGAUUUGGCUUCUCUCCCAUGCUGCUGUCUUAAAAUAAAGUAUGUCACAUGGCAUAUUGAUUACAGAAUUCAAGGCCAAUUACAUCCCAGAAACAAAACACUUCUUUCUCUCCCAUUAUGAUAUUCGUCACUAAUAUGUUUCCCUGAGAUUAUUUGUAAAAGCUGGCUUCAUCUAGUUUCUCCAUUAAGUUCUAUUCAAAGUAGACUUUAAAAGUAUUUUAGGAAAACUGGCCUGAUUGUCUUUACCUGCAACCCCAACUUGGGCAACUUAGUUAUACCGUGUCUUAAAAUAAAACAACAACAACAGUUUGAGGAUGAAGCUCAAUGCUCAAUACCUGGCAUACAGAAAUUUAUGGCAAUUUUAUGGGGGUGGGUCCAUAGCAAGAUGCCAUCUCAAAUAAAAACAAAACAAAACAAAACAAAACAAAACAAAACAGGAAAGGAAGUCUGGGGAGGUAGCUCACUGGGCCACAUAAGCAUGAGGACCUGAGUUCAGGUCCUCUGGGUUACUACAUAAAGCCACCCCACAGCACUGUAAUACCAGUGUGUCUGUGGACAGACGGAAGGUAACGACAGGAGAAUCCUGGAGCUCACAGGCCUUGUGCACACCGCACUGAUCAAUAGAUCUCACUGAGGGGAAAGCAGACUCACACCCAGGGUUGUUUUUGUUCUUCACAUGCACUGUGGUUGUACCUCUAUUCACACACAAACACACACAUGAACAUACAUAUGUGUACAUGGUAGAACUAUCUACUCUCUAACAAUUUCAGUAGACAACAUGGUUCCAGUGAUAAUCACCAUACUGUAUUUUUCAUCCUCAAAAUCUAACCAUUCAGACAGGGCAUCAUGGCACAUGCCUGCAAUCUUAGUACUUGGGAUGUGGGAACAGACUGUGUUAUAACUGAGAGUGUGUGCCCUUAGACCAAUAUCUUCCCAUUGCUCUCUACCCUCAAAGUCUGGCAACCAGCCUUCUGUGAGAUUGAUAUUCUUACAUUAUACAUAUAAUUGAUAUCAGACAGUAUCUUUUCAUUGUGGUAGCUUAUUUCAUCUAGCAUAAUGUCCUCCAGGGUCAUCUAGUUUCUUUCAAAUGGCAGAGUUUUUCUUUUUAAUGAAUAGCCAACUAACAUGUUUAAGCAUAUAAAUAUGCUAUAUAUACAUAGAUAUGUGAAUGCUAGUAUA
ensembl:sense_intronic Gm37529 predicted gene, 37529